UACAGAGGUCCCGAGCGUUGUUCGGAUUCACUGGGCGUAAAGGGUGCGUAGGCGGUCGGGUAAGUCUGAUGUGAAAUCUCACAGCUUAACUGUGAAACUGCAUUGGAUACUAUUCGGCUUGAGAGUUGGAGGGGGGACUGGAAUUCUUGGUGUAGCAGUGAAAUGCGUAGAUAUCGUGAGGAAGACCAGUGGCGAAGGCGGAUCUCUGGACAGUUCCUGACGCUGAGGCGCGAAGGCCAGGGGAGCAAACGGG
rnacentral:rRNA from 1 species